GUUGAAUCUAUGCCUUCUGAUCAAAUUUGUAUUAUGUUCAUUGACUGAAUUCUCUAGCAUUAUAUUCCGUUACCCUACUCUAUGUUAAAAUUGUGAAAAGGGAAAAAAAUUUGCAGAUUCUGAUGCCUGCAUAUCCUGAAAUAUUGAUUGUUACACUGUUGUGGCGUCUGUCAUACAUGUUUUGUAAUAUUUUAUGCGCAAU